rnacentral:rRNA from 1 species
AUGGACGCGCCCGGCACCUGGACUCCUCCAUGCGCAGCACCGUGGCCGCGCCCGGCUCGCCGGUGCCUCGCUGCUCCUCGCCGCGCACAGUCCCACUUCCUUCUCCCCCAAAUUUUCCCCCAACAAGCCAAGUCACCUUCAGCUCUGCCUCCCAAUGCCUUCUUCAUAGACGCGCCCGCGCCCGUCUCAAUGGCCGCCGUCGUGUCCUGCACGGUGCUGCUGGCGGCCGUCGCGUCGCUCGCAUGCCUCGCCUUCGCGGAGCCGCCUCCGAGCGAGCGGUCCGCGCUGCUGGCGUUCCUCACGGACAUGCCCCACGAGCGGAGGCUCGGCUGGAACACCUCCAUGCUGGCCUGCGCCUGGGUCGGGGUCAUGUGCGAUGCCGCCCAGUCCACCGUCGUCCAGCUGCGCCUCCCGGGUGUCGGCCUCGGCGGCGCCAUCCCGCCGGCGACCAUCGGCCGCCUCCCCAACCUCCAGGUGUUGUCGCUCCGCUCCAACCGCAUCAUCAGGGGGCAUCCCCGACGACCUGCUCGAGCUCUCCAGCCUCCGCGCCAUAUUCUUGCAGAACAACAUGAUCUCCGGCGCCAUCCCGUCGGGGGUCGGCAAGCUCGCAGCCCUCGAGACAAGCUCCAGCCUCCGGCCAGCCGGCCGGCGAUGCGCACCACCUGGAGGACAUGCUCGAACUAG